rnacentral:tRNA from 1 species
GCCCCCGUAGCUCAAUGGACAGAGCGCCAGCCUUCUAAGCUGUCGGUUGCGGGUUCGAUUCCCUCCGGGGGCG